GAUGAACGCUGGCGGCGUGCUUAACACAUGCAAGUCGAACGGAAAGGCUCCUGCUUGCAGGGGUACUCGAGUGGCGAACGGGUGAGUAACACGUGGGUGAUCUGCCCUGCACUUCGGGAUAAGCCUGGGAAACUGGGUCUAAUACCGGAUAGGACGAUGGUUUGGAUGCCAUUGUGGAAAGUUUUUCGGUGUGGGAUGAGCUCGCGGCGUAUCAGCUUGUUGGUGGGGUAAUGGCCUACCAAGGCGUCGACGGGUAGCCGGCCUGAGAGGGUGUACGGCCACAUUGGGACUGAGAUACGGCCCAGACUCCUACGGGAGGCAGCAGUGGGGAAUAUUGCACAAUGGGCGCAAGCCUGAUGCAGCGACGCCGCGUGGGGGAUGACGGCCUUCGGGUUGUAAACUCCUUUCGCUAGGGACGAAGCGCAAGUGACGGUACCUGGAGAAGAAGCACCGGCUAACUACGUG
rnacentral:rRNA from 1 species